rnacentral:piRNA from 1 species
CAGACUGGAAAGGCGGACGGCAGU